rnacentral:rRNA from 1 species
UACGGAGGGGGCUAGCGUUGUUCGGAAUUACUGGGCGUAAAGCGCGCGUUAGGCGGCUUUGUAAGUUAGAGGUGAAAGCCCGGAGCUCAACUCCGGAACUGCCUUUAAGACUGCAUCGCUAGAAUCAUGGAGAGGUGAGUGGAAAUUCCGAGUGUAGAGGUGAAAUUCGUAGAUAUUCGGAAGAACACCAGUGGCGAAGGGCGGCUGACUG